rnacentral:rRNA from 1 species
GUGCCAGCAGCCGCGGUAAUACGUAGGGUGCAAGCGUUGUCCGGAUUUACUGGGUUUAAAGGGUGCGCAGGCGGCUGCGCAAGUCCGGGAUGAAAUGGCGGGGCUCAACCCCGUCGCCGUCCCGGAUACUUCGCGGCUAGAGUCGCGGUGAGGAAGCCGGAAUGGAUGGUGUAGCGGUGAAAUGCGUAGAGAUCAUCCGGAACGCCAAUUGCGAAGGCAAGCUUCUGACCGCGCACUGACGCUCAGGCACGAAAGCGUGGGUAGCGAACAGGAUUAGAUACCCUGGUAGUCCACGCCCUAAACCAUGGAUACUCGCUAUCCGGGGGUUUCCCCUGGGUGGCUGAGCGAAAGCGUUAAGUAUCCCACCUGGGGAGUACGCUCGCAAGGGUGAA